rnacentral:tRNA from 1 species
GGUAAGAUGGCUGAGAUCUAAGCGGUGGAUUGUAGCCCCAUACACAGAGGUUUAAGUCCUCUUCUUAUCA